rnacentral:rRNA from 1 species
AGCAGCCGCGGUAAUUCCAGCUCCAAUAGCGUAUAUUAAAGUUGCUGCAGUUAAAAAGCUCGUAGUUGAAUUUCAGGACCAAUAUGUCGGUCGUGCUUCGGUACGUACUGUCAUAAUUGGUUUCUCCCUUCUGAAGAACCUUGAUGUCAUUAAUUUGGUGUUUUGGGGAAUCAGGACUGUUACUUUGAAAAAAUUAGAGUGUUUAAAGCAGGCUCGCGCUUGAAUACAUUAGCAUGGAAUAAUGAAAUAGGACGUUUGAUUCUAUUUUGUUGGUUUCUAGGAUCGACGUAAUGAUUAAUAGGGAUAGUUGGGGGCAUUAGUAUUCAAUUGUCAGAGGUGAAAUUCUUGGAUUUAUUGAAGACUAACUACUGCGAAAGCAUUUGCCAAGGAUGUUUUCAUUAAUCAAGAACGAAAGUUAGGGGAUUGAAGACGAUCAGAUACCGUCGUAGUCUUAACCAUAAACUAUGCCGACUAGGGAUCGGAUGAUGUUAAUUUUUUAAUGACUCA